rnacentral:rRNA from 1 species
CCCCUAGAUGUUCUGGGCCGCACGCGCGCUACACUGAACAGUUCAACAAGUCUUAACCUUGGCCGAUAGGUCUGGGUAAUCUUUGAACGCUGUUCGUGAUUGGGAUAGACCUUUGCAAUUAUGGGUCUUCAACGAGGAAUUCCUAGUAAACGCAAGUCAUCAGCUUGCAUUGAUUACGUCCCUGCCCUUUGUACACACCGCCCGUCGCUACUACCGAUUGAAUGGUUUAGUGAGAUCCUUGGAUUGGUCCCGGGAUGGUGGGAAACUGCCGCUCCGGUGUGCUGAGAAGACGAUCAAACUUGAUCAUUUAGAGGAAGUAAAAGUCGUAACA